CCUACGGGUGGCUGCAGUGGGGAAUAUUGGACAAUGGGGGGAACCCUGAUCCAGCCAUGCCGCGUGUGUGAAGAAGGCCCUUGGGUUGUAAAGCACUUUCAGUGAGGAAGAACGCCUGGUGGUUAAUACCCAUCAGGAAAGACAUCACUCACAGAAGAAGCACCGGCUAACUCCGUGCCAGCAGCCGCGGUAAUACGGAGGGUGCGAGCGUUAAUCGGAAUUACUGGGCGUAAAGCGCGCGUAGGUGGCUUGAUAAGCCGGUUGUGAAAGCCCCGGGCUCAACCUGGGAACGGCAUCCGGAACUGUCAAGCUAGAGUGCAGGAGAGGAAGGUAGAAUUCCCGGUGUAGCGGUGAAAUGCGUAGAGAUCGGGAGGAAUACCAGUGGCGAAGGCGGCCUUCUGGACUGACACUGACACUGAGGUGCGAAAGCGUGGGUAGCAAACAGGAUUAGAUACCCCAGUAGUC
rnacentral:rRNA from 1 species